rnacentral:rRNA from 1 species
AUGGUAGUCGAUGCCCUGGCCGCUAUCUUGGAUAAGGCCAAGGCCGCCGGCCACAUCCUAGGCAUCGUCCCGCAUUUGGUGGAGGGAGGAGAUGUUUCCCUCCUCCAAUACACCGAUGACACCAUCAUCAUGGUGCAAGGCUCAGUGGCUGAGAUCUCGAACCUAAAAUUCCUCCUGCUCUAUUUCCAACACCUAUCAGGCCUCAAAAUAAACAUCGAUAAAAGCACGGUGAUGGUUUUGGGAUAUUCUCCCUCUGAUAGCCAGAGUAUUGCUAACCGACUUAACUCUCGGCUAGGGUCAUUCCCAACUACUUAUCUGGGGAUCCCCAUUAGUGACUCCCGCCUGUCAGUGGCUAACCUGAGACCCUCGGUUGAAAGUGCAACUAUCCCUGGGUGGUUUUGGUAA